rnacentral:rRNA from 1 species
CCUACGGGAGGCAGCAGUGGGGAAUUUUGGACAAUGGGCGAAAGCCUGAUCCAGCCAUGCCGCGUGCAGGAUGAAGGCCUUCGGGUUGUAAACUGCUUUUGUACGGAACGAAAAGCCUCUUUCUAAUAAAGAGGGGUCAUGACGGUACCGUAAGAAUAAGCACCGGCUAACUACGUGCCAGCAGCCGCGGUAAUACGUAGGGUGCGAGCGUUAAUCGGAAUUACUGGGCGUAAAGCGUGCGCAGGCGGUUAUAUAAGACAGUUGUGAAAUCCCCGGGCUCAACCUGGGAACUGCAUCUGUGACUGUAUAGCUAGAGUACGGUAGAGGGGGAUGGAAUUCCGCGUGUAGCAGUGAAAUGCGUAGAUAUGCGGAGGAACACCGAUGGCGAAGGCAAUCCCCUGGACCUGUACUGACGCUCAUGCACGAAAGCGUGGGGAGCAAACAGGAUUAGAUACCCUGGUAGUCCACGCCCUAAACGAUGUCAACUGGUUGUUGGGAAUUCACUUUCUCAGUAACCGAAGCUAACGCGUGAAGUUGACCGCCUGGGGAGUCGGCCGCAAGGUUGAAACUCAAAGGAAUUGACGGCGNGAGACGNGCGAGACGACGACGAGGGAGGAGG